rnacentral:tRNA from 1 species
UGGGGUAUAGCUCAGUGCUAGAGUGCUUGCCUAACAAGCUUGAAGCCCUGGGUUCAACCCCAGUACCAGAG